rnacentral:rRNA from 1 species
GAUGAACGCUGGCGGCGUGCCUAAUACAUGCAAGUCGAGCGAACAGACGAUGAGCUUGCUCCUCUGACGUUAGCGGCGGACGGGUGAGUAACACGUGGAUAACCUACCUAUAAGACUGGGAUAACUUCGGGAAACCGGAGCUAAUACCGGAUAAUAUAUUGAACCGCAUGGUUCAAUAGUGAAAGACGGUUUUGCUGUCACUUAUAGAUGGAUCCGCGCCGCAUUAGCUAGUUGGUAAGGUAACGGCUUACCAAGGCAACGAUGCGUAGCCGACCUGAGAGGGUGAUCGGCCACACUGGAACUGAGACACGGUCCAGACUCCUACGGGAGGCAGCAGUAGGGAAUCUUCCGCAAUGGGCGAAAGCUUGACGGAGCAACGCCGCGUGGGUGAUGAAGGUCUUCGGAUCGUAAAACUCUGUUAUUAGGGAAGAACAAAUGUGUAAGUAACUAUGCACGUCUUGACGGUACCUAAUCAGAAAGCCACGGCUAACUACGUG